rnacentral:lncRNA from 10 species
CGCUGGGUCAGCGCCCUCCUUCCUGCCGGGGAAGGGAAGUGCGUCGGUAGGGGAGGGCUCACCUCUCCAGGUUGAAACGAUGGCGGUCAGAACCGCCUGAGGUAAAAACGGGUGGCACUGGGGAAGCGGAGGCGUAGCUCCCGAGAGCCUCACACUUGUGCUCAGUGCCGCCUCACCCCUGGUGGAUCCGCGAUGGCCGCGGAUUCCCCUGGAUUGCCGGCGCUGGGCAGGAGCGCCACUUCUAAUCUCUCCCGAGACUGGACGCCCGGCGCCUUCCACGCGCGUUGUGUCUUUCCGGGCGGUCCCUCGAAGCUGGCUACCCCGCGGGCUGUUGACUGCAGUGGGAUCUGGUCACUCAGAUGCGGAUAGAGGGGUACGGGAGCCGGAGAGGUGGAACAGGUCCUUCCGGCUAAAUGCAAGAUGGUAUGGCAUCCAGACUCUGCUCAUAAGUAUCUGCAGUGAUCCAUACCUUGAUUGUACAUCUACUCUGCAUCCUGAGGACCUGAACAUGCUAACUGGUGGCUGCAGAUUUGUCUUCUAAGGAGCAAGUGUGGUCUGUGGACAGGCAGCUUCAGCCUCACCUGGGAUUUUGUUUGCACUAGAAAGUGCCAAGCCCUACCCUAGACCUAUUAAAGCAGAACUGGCGUUUAACAAGACACCCCAGGUAAUUUGUGUGCACCUUAGAGUCUGAGAUGCACUAGUGUAGUGAUUCGCAGGGGGACAAUUUUGACCUCCAGGGGACAAUAUCUGGAGACAUUUUUGGGUGUCACAACGUGCUGGGGAGAGGGUGCUACUGGCAUCUAAUGGGCUGAGGCCAAGGGUGCUGCUAAACAUCUGGCAAUACCGGGCCAACCUCCCCCCUCCUCCUGCCCACAGUAAAGAAUUACCCCGCCUGGAUUGUCAGUAGUGCAGAGGUAGAGGAAACCCUACACCUGUGAAACUCAUCUGACCUUUACUAUGAAUUCCUGGAUCUCCUGGUGCAUAUCAUUUCUGUUGCCCUGGCUGACAUUUCCACCUUUUCUCUUUUCUAGAUUUUAUUACAAGAACUCAAUCUGUUGGUCUCUAGGAAUCACCUAUUGCCUUGCUAUGUUUUGUUGAACCUGUUUUUGAAUCUGCUUUCUACAUUGGGGAAAUAGGUAUACGUUUGUAAACCUUAAAAGCUCUGUAUGCUAUAAGGAAAUCACCAGACACGUGGAUAAGCUUUGCAGAGGUGAAGGGCUGUCUCCACCAGAGAGACCCAGAAGGAGUCAGGGUAAGCCUGACUCAUCAUGAGAUCAGGUAUCCCCAAUCCACAGCGGACUUCCACAGUUCACCUUCCUAGGUAACCGCUCUGCCUUCCCAGGUAAAGUAGGAAUAAUAUCAGAACUUACAGCAUAUUUUGAGGUCAAAUUGUAGAAUUUGGUGAUUUCAUUUUUAUUAUUACUCAACCUUUUAUUUACAACCAAAUUAAUAAGGCUACUUACACAUAACAAUGUGUGGACAUACACAUUAAGAGAAUCAUUUGCUGCCUAGCACUCCUACCUAGGUACUUUAAGAACAUCAUUGAGUGGAUACUCCCUCUGCUGGGUAAAAUACUUUGCCACAAUAUCAGCUGAAAUGAUACCUCUUCCAGACUGUAAUGGCAGAAGUAGUUAUCCCCUCUUUCGUGCUGUCAUCACACUUGAUGCAUGCCUACUUUAUAAUACUUAUGCCAUUGUCUCUGUUAUUGGGUUUCUGUCUUCUACUGUGAAAGGGUGAGCCCAUAAAAAACAGGGAAUGUGUCUUUCAAAAUGUUGUAUCCUGCUCAUUCUGAUGUGAAGCCAUUGUCCUCCUUCAAUAAAAUAAAACAGCAUUUCUG